rnacentral:tRNA from 1 species
GGGGAUUUAGCUCAGUGGCAUAAGCACCUGCCUUGCAAGCAGGCAGUAGCGAGUUCGAUUCCCAGCACCUA